rnacentral:rRNA from 1 species
UGGGGAAUAUUGCACAAUGGGCGCAAGCCUGAUGCAGCCAUGCCGCGUGUAUGAAGAAGGCCUUCGGGUUGUAAAGUACUUUCAGCGGGGAGGAAGGCGAUAAGGUUAAUAACCUUGUCGAUUGACGUUACCCGCAGAAGAAGCACCGGCUAACUCCGUGCCAGCAGCCGCGGUAAUACGGAGGGUGCAAGCGUUAAUCGGAAUUACUGGGCGUAAAGCGCACGCAGGCGGUCUGUCAAGUCGGAUGCGAAAUCCCCGGGCUCAACCUGGGAACUGCAUUCGAAACUGGCAGGCUAGAGUCUUGUAGAGGGGGGUAGAAUUCCAGGUGUAGCGGUGAAAUGCGUAGAGAUCUGGAGGAAUACCGGUGGCGAAGGCGGCCCCCUGGACAAAGACUGACGCUCAGGUGCGAAAGCGUGGGGAGCAAACA